AGUUUGAUCCUGGCUCAGGAUGAACGCUGGCGGUCUGCUUAACACAUGCAAGUCGAACGGGACUCUUCGGAGUUUAGUGGCGGACGGGUGAGUAGCGCGUGAGAAUCUGCCCUUAGGUUGGGGACAACAGUUGGAAACGACUGCUAAUACCCAAUGUGCCGAGAGGUGAAAGGUUAACUGCCUGGGGAUGAGCUCGCGUCUGAUUAGCUAGUUGGAGUGGUAACGGCACACCAAGGCGACGAUCAGUAGCUGGUCUGAGAGGAUGAUCAGCCACACUGGGACUGAGACACGGCCCAGACUCCUACGGGAGGCAGCAGUGGGGAAUUUUCCGCAAUGGGCGAAAGCCUGACGGAGCAAGACCGCGUGAGGGAGGAAGGCCUAUUGGUUGUAAACCUCUUUUGAUAGGGAAGAACACAAUGACGGUACCUAUCGAAUCAGCAUCGGCUAACUCCGUGCCAGCAGCCGCGGUAAUACGGAGGAUGCAAGCGUUAUCCGGAUUUAUUGGGCGUAAAGCGUCCGUAGGUGGCAAACCAAGUCAGUUGUUAAAGCGUAGAGCUUAACUCUAUAAGGGCAAUUGAAACUGGUUAGCUAGAGUGCGAUAGGGGCAAGGGGAAUUCCCAGUGUAGCGGUGAAAUGCGUAGAUAUUGGGAAGAACAUCGGUGGCGAAGGCGCCUUGCUGGGUCUGCACUGACACUGAGGGACGAAAGCUAGGGGAGCGAAAGGGAUUAGAUACCCCUGUAGUCCUAGC
rnacentral:rRNA from 1 species